AAAGAAUGCUUAAUAGAGUGCACUCAUAAUUUUAAGAAAGAGAGCAAAAAUCAUUGCUUGCAUCUGAUGUAUACUAAUAUUUCAUACACCGUAAAAGUAUAUUAGAUGAUUGAUAGAAUAUCCGAUAAUUUGUAUUGUGAAAUAAAAUAUGAUAUUGGAGUACAUCUCUUGUGCUUUUGAAAGUACGGAGGCCACCGUUCUUGUAAGUUAUUUCCAGUAAUAGGACAUCCGAUUUAACGAUCGGCUCUUUUAGGCAUAACUUACGCUAUUGAAACUAUUUAGAUACCAAAUUUUAUAAUUUUACAACAUCAUUUACCACGUGAUCAAAAUGUCUCAAAAAUAACUAUUUUAAUGAACGAUGUGGCACGUUUUAAAGUUAGAUAGUGUAGAACAAUCCAAAUUAGAUAAAAGUUUAAUAAAAAAUUUUACUUAAUAUCAAUAGCAAUAUCAAUGUUUUUAAUUUAAAAUUUGAGUCUUUUAUCACUAUUUUUUAUGAAAUUUUUAUUUUCAAUAUUUUUUUAGGCUACUUGUUUACUAGGUAAAUAAAGUCAAAAAAUUAUAAAAUUUAAUUUCUAGAUAGUUCAAAUAGCGUAGAUCAUGUCUAACAGAACUGAUCAGCGAAUCGGUUGUCCCAUCAUCGAAAAUAACUUACGAGCAUAAAGGCCUCCGAGCUUUUGAAAAUAUAGGAUCUUAGCUCUAUAAUAUAGUAUAUAUAAUAUAAAAUAUUUA
rnacentral:lncRNA from 1 species